rnacentral:tRNA from 2 species
GGCGCUAUACUUUAAUGUAAAAGAAUUGAUUUGCAGUCAGAAAAUAAAACAUAGGUGUUUUUAGGGCCA